rnacentral:lncRNA from 1 species
AUCGUCUCCAAAAGCAAUCACUAAAGCUCAGGGCUUCAAAGUCUCAGCUGAUACAGCCAAGCUGGAAAACCUGCUCCGUGGCAACCUGGAAAAGGCCCCUUGAUCCUCUGAGGGCACAUCGAGAAUUUCUGGUUGAACCAGAUCACCAAUGGAGUCCCCUGGGGUGAGCGUCUUGUUAGCCCCAUGCCAGCUCAAGGAGUUUCACCCCAGCCCUGGUCAGGGUGGGUGCCUGCUUGCUCCAAGGCCAGAGAGGCCCAGGCAAAUCCCUGAGAGUCUGCAAAGAUGGAUUUCCUUUUUGAUGAGAGGAGAAAGAGCUUGUCUUUGGGUGAGAAUCCACAAGGAUUUUUGUCCCAUUCUGCAGGCAUCCAUCCCAGCUACCUUUCUAAUUCCACAGGUAAGAGGAUACUCACUCAUUUCCUUUCAAAGAGAUCCGUUUUUGGAGUUUGGGGCUAUUUGUGAGUGACAUAUUGGGGCA